CAAAAUAGAGCUAGAAGUUGCAAAUGUCAUCGCCUAUGGGGCGCAGAUGAAGCCUUUCUUUGUCACCACUGAUCAGCUGUGAAAAGAGCAGAAGCUAGCCGGAAAAUCCGCAAGGUCCAUCGUCAGCACUGGCACUUAAGGAGAUAAAAGAUCCCCAUUAAAGAUCUCAUCAACAAUGUCCACUCCUCCUGUUCCUCUUUCUCUCACCAACUGUAGCCUUAUUUUUUCUUGAACUUAUAGCUUUUAUGGCCUCAAGGAGCGAUUAAUUGAAAACAGAGUCCUACAUCUUGCGAAAAUCAUGAUUCAUGUUUUGCUGUUCUAGCAACAAACAAAGCACAUAACAGAGUUUGAGGAAAUAUGAAUUUGGGGAUCAUUGGAAUCUUGGAAUCGAGGACCGUGCGAAGCCUCAGGUGUACAAUGAAGAGCACGAGAACAAGGAUCUUCAACAACGUGUCACCGCAGCAAGAAACAAAAAUUGAAGAACUGGCUAUCAAAAAAAUGGAACGGUGAUGGAAUCUGCUUCACGUCACGUGCCUAAAAGCAGGAAAAGAUUCUUUCUUGCUUCUUCUUCGUCCAUAUGCACACUGUUUCUGUUGUUAUUUAUCUAUUCUAAAGCGGGGUUAACACUGUUGGGCUUCAGUUUUCAACAUUAGAGUUUUUUUCUUUUGCUGAUUGCUUCAAGUAUUAAUUUUUUUGGUCGCUUUUGUCUUGCUGUUUAGGUUUCACACAUAUACAAAUGAGUUGCAGCUUAAAGUGUUGUCGUAAAUGGUUCUGUAAUUGGCGGGUAAAAAUAGGAAAAAUUGGAAGAGCUUGAGACAAUAGAUAAUGUUUCAGUCAUAUGCAUAGAUUUGCUGCAAAACAUGGAAAGUACGAGUAUAAUUGUACUUUUUGACGAAUGAAUCCUUGGUUUCGUUGUUAAAGAUUGUUCAUGAAGUAAGGCUGAAUUUGUUGUUUGUGGCAUCACUUGGAUUCUUUAAAUAUGGGUUUGUGACAAAUUUAUUAACUUCUCUUUAUGUUAUCCCAAUUUGAAACAUUUUUAUAUAGUUGUGGUUGUUUGGAAUAUUAGGUAAUCACUAAAAGUUGUGCAGUAUCUGUGAAAAUACAUGACUAAGGUAAUUAGCAACUAGAUUGUUUGAAAAUUUACUUGGCUAACAUUAUGUAUUGUUACUUCUGAAAUGGAGCUUCAACUGAUAGUAAGCUAGAGAUCUUCAGGUACCAGUCUUUAUUCAAUGAAUUGAAGCACCAUAUAUUUUUUUAGUACAUCUAAUUUUUUCCUGUUUAAUCAAAAUGGUUGACUUAA